rnacentral:rRNA from 1 species
AUUGAACGCUGGCGGCAGGCCUAACACAUGCAAGUCGAACGGUAGCACAGAGAGCUUGCUCUCGGGUGACGAGUGGCGGACGGGUGAGUAAUGUCUGGGAAACUGCCCGAUGGAGGGGGAUAACUACUGGAAACGGUAGCUAAUACCGCAUAAUGUCGCAAGACCAAAGAGGGGGACCUUCGGGCCUCUUGCCAUCGGAUGUGCCCAGAUGGGAUUAGCUUGUUGGUGAGGUAAUGGCUCACCAAGGCGACGAUCCCUAGCUGGUCUGAGAGGAUGACCAGCCACACUGGAAGGGAGACACGGUCCAGAGGCCUACGGGAGGCAGCAGUGGGGAAUAUUGGACAGUGGGCGCAAGCCUGAUGCAGCCAUGCCGCGUGUGUGAAGGAGGCCUUCGGGUUGUAAAGCACUUUCAGCGGGGAGGAAGGCGAUACGGUUAAUAACCGUGUUGAUUGACGUUACCCGCAGAAGAAGCACCGGCUAACUCCGUG